rnacentral:rRNA from 1 species
GACGAACGCUGGCGGCGUGCCUAAUACAUGCAAGUAGAACGCUGACGAGAGGAGCUUACUCUUCUGGAUGAGUUGCGAACGGGUGAGUAACGCGUAGGUAACCUCCCUCGGAGCGGGGGAGAACUAUUGGAAACGAUAGCUAAUACCGCACAACAAUGGACGACACAUGUCAUGUAUUUGAAAGGGGCAAUUGCUCCACUACAAGAUGGACCUGCGUUGUCUUAGCUAGUAGGUGAGGUAAUGGCUCAACUAGGCUACGAUACAUGGCCGACCUGAGAGGGAGAUCGACCACAAUGGGACUGAGACACGGCCCAAGCUCCUGCGGGAAGCAGCAGUAGGGAAGCAUCGGAAAUGGGGGCAACCCUGAACGAGCAACGCCGCGGGAGUGGAGAAGGUUUUCGGAUCGUAAAGGUACGUUGUAAGUCAAGAAAGGGUGUGAGAGUGGAAAGUUCACACUGUGACGGUAGCUUACGAGAAAGGGACGGCUAACUACGUG